UUAGAAUGACCAGGAUGGUGCCUGACCAGCUGCAGGUCAGAGUCCCCAGCAGAUAUGAUUUUGAGUGUCUCAGAAGAAUACUAAGGCAAUCAAUAAAGGAAGAACUAGAGUGGGCUCAGAGGUAAUCGCCAUCCAGGUAAAAACAAAAUAUUACCAACUAACCAAGCUAAUUAAACUGGAAGUCUCAGCACCAAAAGUCGCCCCCCCCCAAAAUGCCAACGCCCGAGGUUCUCUAUACCUUGAUUCCCACCAAUGCCCGUGGCUCUCUGCGCCUUGAUUCCUCUGUGAACAUAAAAAUCAAUCUGCCUAUUACCUUGCCCGAGUUCUGCAUUAUUUGUUGUCACCCCACUUCUGUCCGGUUUGGGGAUUUCCAUUUGUUUCAUUUCCACUUCUA
rnacentral:lncRNA from 1 species